CAGUUAGGAGGAGGGGUGUCCUUGUACCGCAUGGCUCUGCAUGGGCAAUAAUGUGAAAUAUGUUUGAAUUUUUCAAUGAAUAUUUUUCGCGUCAAAAUAUAGAGUUAAAUAGGCCAAAUUUAAGCCAUUUUGGAUAUAAUAAUUUUAAACAAAUAAGCAUAAUAGCUCUAUCAUUUUUAGUAUGAUAAAAUAUAAUGUAAUUUAACUCGUUUAAAUACCUAUUUUGAUCUUAAAUAGUUAACAAUCUUGACAGUUGAAUAUUCAAA